rnacentral:rRNA from 1 species
AGAGUUUGAUCAUGGCUCAGGAUGAACGCUAGCUACAGGCUUAACACAUGCAAGUCGAGGGGAAACGACAUCGAAAGCUUGCUUUUGAUGGGCGUCGACCGGCGCACGGGUGAGUAACGCGUAUCCAACCUGCCCACCACUUGGGGAUAACCUUGCGAAAGUAAGACUAAUACCCAAUGACGUCUCUAGAAGACAUCUGAAGGAGAUUAAAGAUUUAUCGGUGAUGGAUGGGGAUGCGUCUGAUUAGCUUGUUGGCGGGUAACGCCACAAGGCGACGAUCAGUAGGGUUCUGAGAGGAAGGUCCCCCANAUUGGAACUGAGACACGGUCCAAACUCCGUACGGGAGGCA